CGUGCAGCCGGGAAUGCAAGUCAGAUGUGAAAUCCAUGGGCUUAACCCAUGAACUGCAUUUGAAACUGUAUUUCUUGAGUACUGGAGAGGCAAUCGGAAUUCCUAGUGUAGCGGUGAAAUGCGUAGAUAUUAGGAGGAACACCAGUGGCGAAGGCGGAUUGCUGGACAGCAACUGACGGUGAGGCGCGAAAGUGUGGGGAGCAAACA
rnacentral:rRNA from 1 species